CUCUUUUAGGGUAUGUCACCUAUGGAUGAUAUUUCUCCUUUGCAAAGGACAUACUCGAAGAUGCCUAAGCAAAAAAAGUGACGACUAAGAUCGUUUACAACAAUGAUGAAUGCACCUAAUGAUGCAUUGAAAGAAGAGAUGCAGAAGGGAACAUCGAUGCCUAUUUCAUUAGUGAUGACCCCUCCUAAGAGAACAUGAGAACCAUCAAAGCCUUUGAUCCUCUACCUAAGUGAUUUUGUAAGACUCCUGUUAGUCAAAGGGGUUAAAGGGGUCAAAGGGGGCCAUCAUUUGUUGAAUGAAUUUCAGCAAAAAAACCACAACAUGAGGUAAUCAACAAUUCAAUUGUAGAGAAAUAAUAGUACAUUAUAGUUAUUUGAUGUUAAUCCGACAACUGUAAAUUAUUAUUGACAUAAGCAAUCUAACUUGUUGUUUGACUUGUUAUGCAAGCAUCUACAAAGUCAUGCACUACUUCAAAGAGGCUCGAUUUUGACAAUCCACCACAACUAUAGGAUUUUUUAGAGUUAUAUACUAUUAGUUGUGGUCGUUGUAUAUUGAUCUUAAGAUGGCAUAUAUGCCAUAGUUUUGUAAAACUUGUAUUGAUUUGGCACGUGUCAUUUUUGUACAUUUUAUUGAGUUGGCACAUAUGCCAUUUUUUGUACAUUUUGUUG